GAAGCAUUCAACUGGGAAGGUUGGCUGAUGGCAGUCAGCCUAAAGACAUCUCCAAUUUUGUUUUGAAUUAAUUGAUACAGGCCCAGUGUAACAGCUCUUAAAGCCCAUGUGCAGCAUGGGGUGCCUCCUCUCCUUGGACUUGCUUUGAGAGACUGGAAUUGUUCCAUGGAGAGAGACAAGGUGCUGCAGAGGACAUCCUUGGGAGUCUUCCUGGGACUUCCAUUGUCUGGAGGAAUCUAAGGAAAUCCACCCAGGCUAAGCUCAGGAAAAACAGGAGCAGGGAGCAGCUAUAAACCAGCCUGUUCAUCGUGGGCA
rnacentral:lncRNA from 1 species